AAGGGCACCACAAGAACGCGUGGAGCAUGUGGCUUAAUUUGACUCAACGCCGGAAAUCUUACCGGGUCCGGACACACUGAGGAUUGACAGGCAAUAUUAAUACGUGUUCGCAUGUAUUAUGUUAAAUAUGCUAGUCCUUUCAUGAUUAUGUGAUAGGUGGUGCAUGGCCGUUCUUAGUUCGUGGAGUGAUCUGUCUGCUUAAUUGCGUUUCACUAAGGGCCUAUAAAUUUACGUGUGUUGCGGCUCUUUGACCCCUUUCUUUUUAUAAAAGAAAGCGCGCGUCUUAGUAUGCUUUGCUCACACAAUUAGGUCCUGAAAGCAACGAACGUGACCGCAACCUCUUGUUGCCUUUAUACCAAACAUGUUUGUUAUUUUUAUAACAUUCAUGAAAAAAGGCUUUUUAAACUAGAGGGACCGCUGUUACUUUCUUAAACCAGAGGAAGGUUGCGGCAAUAACAGGUCUGUGAUGCCCUUAGAUGUUCCGGGCUGCACACGUGCUACAAUGAUUAUUGCAGUGAGCAUCUCAUUUUUACACACCGCAUGCGCGAGUCCAUUUAUUCACUUCGGUGUUUUAAAUGUGUGUCUCUGCGCGCGGUAAAGCCUGCUUCGAAAGUAAGUGGGUAAUCAAUUAGAAGUAAUGAUUUCCUUUUUUUAGCACACAUAUAUACGGCGUCUAUACCCGGGUUACCUUGUUGUAACUUUUGUGCGUAUAGAUGUUUUUUCCGUAUGUGCGAUUGUCAAUUCAUGGUGGGGACAGACCAUUGUUAAUUGUUGGUCUCGGUCUUAACUAGGAAUGCCUUGUACGGGUCUUUGGUUCAACAAACCACCCGGAAUACGUCCCUGCCCUUUGUACACACCGCCCGUC
rnacentral:rRNA from 1 species